GACGAACGCUGGCGGCGUGCUUAACACAUGCAAGUCGAACGGAAAGGCCCUGCUUUUGUGGGGUGCUCGAGUGGCGAACGGGUGAGUAACACGUGAGUAACCUGCCCUUGACUUUGGGAUAACUUCAGGAAACUGGGGCUAAUACCGGAUAGGAGCUCCUGCUGCAUGGUGGGGGUUGGAAAGUUUCGGCGGUUGGGGAUGGACUCGCGGCUUAUCAGCUUGUUGGUGGGGUAGUGGCUUACCAAGGCUUUGACGGGUAGCCGGCCUGAGAGGGUGACCGGAGCUAGGGGGACGGGGACAGGCACGAGACCCACACGGGAGGAGGAGGGGGGGAAUAUGGAAAACGGGGGGGAAGCAAGAGGAAGAAGCCGCGGGGGGGGGAGGAGGGCUUGAGGGUGGAAAACUGGGUGCGCGGGGGAAGAAGGGGGAGGGAGGGUAAGGGAGAAAGAAGCACCGGAUAAUUGAGCG
rnacentral:rRNA from 1 species